rnacentral:rRNA from 1 species
GGUCAGAACGAACGCUGGCGGCAUGCCUAAUACAUGCAAGUCGAACGGAGAUAGCAAUAUCUUAGUGGCGAACGGGUGCGUAACACGUGAGCAACCUGCCUUAUACAUCGGAAUAACAGCUGGAAACGGCUGCUAAUACCGGAUAAGACCACACCAAGGCAUCUUGGAGAGGUCAAAGCGAAUUAGCGGUAUAAGAUGGGCUCGCGUCCAAUUAGCUAGUUGGUGGGGUAACGGCCCACCAAGGCAACGAUUGGUAGCCGACUUGAGAGAGUGAUCGGCCACACUGGAACUGAGACACGGUCCAGACUCCUACGGGAGGCAGCAGUAGGGAAUAUUGGGCAAUGGAGGAAACUCCUUACCCAGCAAUGCCGCGUGAAUGAUGAAGGUCUUAUGGAUUGUAAAGUUCUUUAAUUGGGGACGAAAGAAAUGACGGUACCCAAAGAAUAAGCCCCGGCUAACUAUGUGCCAGCCGCUGC